rnacentral:tRNA from 1 species
CAAAGUGUAGCUUAAACAAAGCAUCUGGUCUACACCCAGAAGAUUUCAACUUCAUGACCACUUUGA